rnacentral:rRNA from 1 species
UACGUAGGGGGCAAGCGUUGUCCGGAAUCAUUGGGCGUAAAGCGCGUGUAGGCGGCCCGGUAAGUCCGCUGUGAAAGUCGGGGGCUCAACCCUCGGAUGCCGGUGGAUACUGUCGGGCUAGAGUGCGGGAGAGGCGAGUGGAAUUCCUGGUGUAGCGGUGAAAUGCGUAGAUAUCUGGAGGAAUACCGGUGGCGAAGGCGGCAUCCUGGACCGACAUUGACGCUGAGGAGCGAAAGCUAGGGGAGCAAACGGG